CCGAACCCGAGAACGAACGAUGGAACAAGGAAACGACGCUGUUUGCGACUCUGUAAAUGACAGGAUACCACCACCCUAUUCGUCAACAGUCCGCCUGGAGCAUCCCAUAAUUCCAUGGUGCUCCAGCCUGUUGGUAGUAUCACCACCACCAUCAUUGUUUGAUAGAUAGCAAUAAUUUGCUGCUGCUGCUGCUGCUGUUGGUUGUUGUUGUCGUCUUCGUCGUCGGCGUGUGCGCGUUAGGGCCAAGUCCUAGCUUCGUGGUGAUUAAUUUAGAGGUGGUCAAGAUUCAACAUAUUUAUGUUUCUUUAUUACCUUCCCGCUGGGACUUGGCAAACUUUUUUCUGAGACUUUGUUGUAUUUUCUCUUCCCGUUUGUUGCUACCUCUGGAUCUGCUUGUUCAGCAACAGAAAGUUGAUGAAAGUAACUUCCAGUAUGAAAAUUCCAGUCUCCUUGAUUAUAGAUAUUCUUGCAUUGCAGCAUCGUGACGUAUAUGGAUUGUGAUUGUAUAAGAUUUUUAAAAAACUCUGAUUGUACAAGAAAUGGCCAUUUUUGGAAGAGAAAUUAUGUAAAUUUCAUAAAAAAUGCUCAAUUCCUGCCGCUGUUACCAGUAAAACAGAAAUGAUUUUUUUGGCCGUUAGAACAGAAGAAUAAUGAUUUUUUACCAUUAAAUAAAACACUUGCAUCGCUCAAAAAUAUUUAUACAGCUAAAUACUCCCCCCGUUCCAAAUUACUCGUCGCAAAAAUGGAUGUAUCUAGAACUAAAAUACAUUUAGAUACAUUCGUACCUGCGAUAAGUAAUUUGAAACGGAGGGGGAACGGAGGGAGAACGUUCUAAAAACUUUGACAUGAAAAUUACAUUUUAAAAGUUGAUUCCUUGUUCGCAAGAAAGUCCACGGAAGUAAAGUAACACGGUUCCUGUUUCCACGCCAGUCACUGGCAGGUGGGACCGGCGUGUCAGCCAUCCCCGUCGUUUUCACUUUACCCCCAAAACGAAGUAAAAAUCACGCCCGACCUCCAGCGCUCGAGGAGGAUUGACGGAGUGACGACUCUCUGACUAACCCUAGCCUAGCCGCCUAGGGAGCGAGCGGGGAGGCGGCCGGAGCCGGAGCCGGAGAUGGAGGUGGUGGCGCUGGUGAGCGGCGGCAAGGACAGCUGCUUCUCCAUGAUGCGGUGCCUCGACUACGGCCACAAGGCAGACCCCGACCCCCCGUCCAGUAAUCUCGUCGGCGUUUCCGUCCUUGCUAAACCUCGGCGCUAAUCUGCCCGCAGGUCGUCGCCCUGGCCAACCUCAUCCCGCUCGACGACGCCGUCGACGAGCUCGACAGCUACAUGUACCAGACCGUACGGCCCGCCCUCCCCGCUCCCACGCCACAUUUUUCUUCCGCUAUGCGCCGUGUAAUUUAUUUGCUGAUUGCUGUGUGGCUGUGGCGUUUGGGGAUCUAGGUCGGGCACCAGAUCGUGAUCUGCUACGCCAAAUGCAUGGGGCUGCCCCUGUUCCGCCGCCGCAUCAGCGGAUCCACAAGGCAAUAUAUCUGUCUGUCCUCAGCUUUUGUUCCCCUCCGAAUGUUAUAGGCUGUGCCUGCUCUUUUCACCGAUGAAUUCCGGCUAUUGUUGUGUGCAGGGAUCAUGCUCUUAAAUACAGCGUUACCGCGGGAGACGAGGUGGAGGACAUGUUUGCCCUGCUGAGCGAGGUGAAGCGGCGAAUUCCGUCCAUUGGCGCCGUGUCUUCGGGCGCCAUCGCCUCCGAUUACCAGAGGCUCCGGGUCGAGAGCGUCUGCUCGAGGUUGGGCCUGGUCUCGCUCGCCUACAUGUGGAGGCAGGAUCAGACUCUGCUUCUUGAAGAAAUGGUAAAAUUGAACUUCAGUUUGUCUUUUAUCUUUGGCAGAUUGUCUGGCUUGGCAGAAACUGCACACUAAUGUUGUCAGCUUUUGUUUUGGUCUUAAUCCCUGCAGAUAAGAAGGGGCAUUGUGGCUAUAACUGUCAAGGUAUACAGUGUACUCAUGUUUAUGUUUUGUAGAUUUUCUCUAAUUUACUUGCGUCAUUGCACUUUAUCUCUUUGGAAUAUAAGUGGUUGGUCCGUUGGGAUUUAUAGGUUGCUGCAAUGGGGCUGAAACCUUCUGCCCACUUGGGUAAAGAACUGGCUGAACUUAAGGGCCAUCUGCUCCAAAUGAAUGAGUAUGUUUCUAACUCCCUUCUGUCUAGACCUUUUGCUCUUUGGAAAUAGUGGCCUCUUGUCCCUUAUGAAAGGUUUGCGUUUGAAUGAGUGAAGGCAUUAACUUCAUGUGUAGGGAUAUUAAUUAGUGGGUCUGGUUUCUAUAUAUACACGGCAAUUGCAGUGUUUGGAGAGGAAUGCUAGUUUUUGCGUCUUAUUGUUCUCGAAAAGUAGCUGGCUAGUACUCCCUCCGUUACAAAUAUAAGAUGUUUUGGAUAUUUGAAUAUGGACUACAUACAGACUGAAAUGAGUGAACAAACACACUAAAACGUGUCUAUAGACAUCUGGUUCACAAAAAAGAUAGAACAUCUUAUAUUUGUGAACGAAGUGAGUAAAACUCAGUUUGUGUUGCUCUUGGUUGUAUGAUGGAUUGACUGUGAACAGUACUUCCACCAUUAGGUCUUAUAUUUGGUGUGCAUUUACUGAUUGUUGGUGAGCUGGCUACUAAUGUCCUGUUGGUUCCUGGAAGCAAAAUCUGUUUUGUUUCUCAGGAAUAGAAAUGGGAGUCUUCUGUAAUGAAAAAAAUGUGCCACAGUUUGUCCCUCUCUGCGUGUCUUAUUCUCAUUGAUCUCUGUGUAAAUGCUGGUCUUUUGCUCGCAUAUAUUUUCAUCUUGUAAUUUAUCUUCUUUGUUUAUCCUAUUAGGAGUUUUGGAAUCAAUGUCUGUGGUGAAGGUGGAGAGUACGAAACACUAACUCUUGACUGCCCUCUAUUUCGUGUAAGUUUGAAGAGCUGACUAAAUGCCACUUGUUUUAGAAUGUUAGGUAGACUGUAACCAUCACCAUGUUCCAUGCCGUGUUGGCACUGUCUAUUCUAACAUGUCAUCAGAUGGCUGUUGAGCAUAGUAAUGUUUUUUCUACCAGCAACCAAUAACUGUUGAGUUUUCUGUACUAUAAUAUGCCUACGUUUGCAGAAUGCAAGGAUUGUCCUUGAUGAUUUUGAAGUGAUACUCCACUCUGCUGAUUCCAUUGCUUCAGUUGGAAUUCUUCAUCCGCUGGCAUUUCAUGUUGAGCCCAAGCCAGGUUCAUCUAGCAGCAUUGGGGAUGGCGCCAUUGCUGAAGAGAAUUCUAGUUGCUUGUAUGAAGUAAAUGGAGCUAUUGCACACACUGAUGCGGAAAACAAACAGACCUUGAAUCCAACACCAACCUCUGAUGCUUACCCAGAUACAAAUGUAUGCAUUUCAAAGACAGGGAGGACUUUGUUUUCCAUUGGUUGUUGGAUAGAAGAACCCUCUAGUGCUUCCCAAGGUGGAUACCCCUGUGCUACUUAUUUCCAUGUUAUUGAACUAUUCAUAAUUCUCUGCCUGGUAGGAGUACCUUAUGUUCUCUUUUUUUGCGGGGUACCUUAUGUUCUAUUUCAUCUUGCUUUGUUGGACACUCACUUACAAUUCCAUUACGUCAAUAGGCAUGAAGGCAGAUCUAGUCAAAGUUUUGAGCAGAAUCGAGAAUCGGCUCAAGGACGGAGGGUUAAGUUGGGCAAAUGUUGUAUAUGUUCACCUCUACAUUUCAAGCAUGAAGGAAUUUGGAUUGGCCAAUGAAGUUUAUGUCAGCUUCAUCACAGAAAAGAAAUGUCACCUUGGUGUUCCUUCGCGCAGUACAAUUGAAUUACCACUUGUUCAGGCUGGUUUGGGCCAUGCAUAUGUGGAGGUUCUAGUUGCAAGUGAUCUGGUCAAAAGAGUUCUGCACGUACAAAGCAUCUCAUGCUGGGCUCCUAGUUGCAUUGGACCUUAUAGCCAGGUAAAAGAACACUCCAUGGUAAUGCCAUGAAUUCAUACUAAAAGCUGUCUGCAGACUAGUUGCUGUCUGCAGAGCGCAGACUAGUUGCCGGUAUAUUCAGUUAGCACUGAGUGUUCGCAUAUGAUGACUCUGGGACAUGAAAUUUCUUUCUAAUGUCUUUCAGGCAACACUUUAUGGAGAGAUUCUCUAUAUGGCUGGUCAGCUCGGGCUUGACCCCCCUACAAUGAAGCUCUGUCCUGGAGGCGCAACAGCUCAACUGGAACUAGCACUGCGAAAUAGUGAAGCUGUGGCUAAUGCCUUCAAGAGCUCUAUCUUCUCUUCAGCAGUACACUUUCUGGUGUACUGCUCUGCCCACCUGACAUCCACUGAGAAGGAAGCAGUUGAACAAAAGCUGCAGAAUUCAUAUAUUGCUCAUUUGGAUUCCGCAAGAAGUGGAUCAUAUCCUACUAUUCUAUAUGUACUAGCACCGGAUCUUCCAAAAGGGUAAGCAUAUUUUUCUUCUAUCUUUUUUAUCAGCAAGAAAACCCGUGUCAUCUGGAUAAACAUAUUUGGUGAUGCCAUGCUGAACUUUAUAAGAAAUAUUUGUUCCAUUCUUUCAGAGCAUGUGUGGAGAUAAAACCAACGUUGUAUGUCCCCACUGAUGACUACGACGGCGAUGACGAUGAUGGAGAUAUUACCAAAGAGCUGGAGACCGGAGGGUCAAAGCCAUCAUCAAGCAAAGUCCCGAGUGAGUGGAGCGCACAAUACUCUGGCUUGCAUGACUCAUGCUGCCUGAUCAACGCGGUUGCUGGGAAGAUUUGCUCUGCUUUGGUUUCAGUCACGAAUGACAUCGCAUCAAAGAUCUGUUCCAGCACCGAACAACUACACCCCUCAAAGGAGCAUUUGAAAGCCAUAGCUAGGUUUUGUGCUUUCCAGCUCGCAAAGACCCUGACAGACACUGGCUUCACCUGGGACGACGUAACGGUAAGUCCCUGUCCUGUCGUUCCUUUUCAUGGCCGCACCGGUCCCGCCUCCUAAUCAGCAUUACUGAAUUCAUUUAUACCUGCAGAUGCUGAGGUUCUACUAUUUGGUGAAGCACGCGGCGGCAGCGGACACGAUGUCCCGUGCAUUCUCUGAGGCCUUCACCGAGCUCGGAGGAGCCGAUGGUUCAUUGAGAACCGCCGGGGCGCCCGUCUUCAACCUCAUCCCGGUCUCGGGGUCCGGCCGCUCCGCGUCGAUGGAUGAUGUUAUUACGUGCGAGCUACUAGCUUCCAAGGCUUAAGCCAAGAAGAACCUUGGCCUGCACUUGUUAGCUUCCAAAGCUUAAGUCAAGAACCUGGCCUGUAGUGCACUGUCUGCACAUGCAGCUUGGUGCCAGGUGGUUGCAUCUUCCGUUGAAACAUUGGAGGCAAGCAGUAGUAGGAUGGGAUUCUCUGCCAAGGGAGCCGGCGCUGCAGCAAGCUGGACAGCAGAUAAUCAGGUGCCUUGCUGUUGGCGGCAGCUUUCUCUCCGUGAAGUGAUUUUUGGGUUUUUAUUAUUGAUGAUGAUUAUAUCAAUAUGGUACUCCCUACUAUACUACCACAAAGUACAUCGUAUCUGGUUGGCCUGUGGCUGUAGCUUUGUAACGACAUUGGUUGGCUGGCUCAGUUAGUGGCAUGGGUGUUCGUCGUGUCAACCAAGCACGCACGGCUUAUUAUAUUCCCAAGAUAUAUUUUUAAAAGGAAAAUUGUUGCAAAAUCUGGAGCGCCUACCAUUCCAAGGCAAACCUCUUAUUUUAUUUUAUUUUGAAAGGGAGAAGGCAAACCUUUUGAUAUCAUCAUAAUAAAUAUAACAAGUAACAAGUAAUGUAUCCUCUGCCCAAAAAAUUAUAUAAUUAGGCCCAGCCAACGGAAAGGAAAUCUUCAGAUAGCGAUCGAAGCCUAUAGUUUAUGAAGAUGGUCAACAACGAUCCUAGCCGCAAAAAACAAAUCAUCAACCAGCCGAUACAGAUGCGACGAAUGCGCAAGAACAGUUAUUGAGUAUAAGAAUAAUAUAAAUACUCUCUCUGUUCCUAAAUACUCUGUAUUUGUCUUUUUAGAGAUUUCAAAUGGACUACCACAUACGGAUGUGUAUAGACAUAUUUUAGAGUGUAGAUUCACUCAUUUCACUUUGUAUGUACUAGUCACUUGUUGAAAUCUCUAGAAAGACAAAUAUUUAGGAACGGAUGAAGGAAGUAUAUAGCAAGAAUAAAUUGUGUUAGUAAUCAAUUUCCCCUCAAAGAAGAAAUAAAUACUACUCCCUCCGUUCAUUUUUAUAAGUCAUUUCAGAUAACUGAAAAAUAGGCUAUUUUGCACAUUGUCUGCAAUGUCUUUAAGGCCUUAUAAAAGUGAACAGAGGGAGUACAAGAAUUUUUAUAGACUGGACUUGACCAAUUCCAGCUGGAAACUUGUCGACACGCCUUGAUUAAUUAAAAAUAAUAAUUAAAAAUCAGCUUGAUUAAUUAAAAA
rnacentral:lncRNA from 1 species